AAGGCUUGACAUGGACCGGACCGCCGCAGAGAUGUGGUUUCUCCUUUUGGGGCCGGUUCACAGGUGGUGCAUGGUUGUCGUCAGCUCGUGUCGUGAGAUGUUGGGUUAAGUCCCGCAACGAGCGCAACCCUCGUUCCAUGUUGCCAGCGCGUUAUGGCGGGGACUCAUGGGAGACUGCCGGGGUCAACUCGGAGGAAGGUGGGGAUGACGUCGUAUCUCACUG
rnacentral:misc_RNA from 1 species